AGGCAACCUGCCCUCAAGUUUGGGACAGCUACCGGAAACGGUAGCUAAUACCGAAUAGUUGUUUUCUUCGCCUGAAGAGAACUGGAAAGACGGAGCAAUCUGUCACUUGGGGAUGGGCCUGCGGCGCAUUAGCUAGUUGGUGAGGUAACGGCUCACCAAGGCGACGAUGCGUAGCCGACCUGAGAGGGUGAUCGGCCACACUGGGACUGAGACACGGCCCAGACUCCUACGGGAGGCAGCAGUAGGGAAUCUUCCGCAAUGGGCGAAAGCCUGACGGAGCAAUGCCGCGUGAGUGAUGAAGGUUUUCGGAUCGUAAAGCUCUGUUGCCAGGGAAGAACGCUUGGGAGAGUAACUGCUCUCAAGGUGACGGUACCUGAGAAGAAAGCCCCGGCUAACUACGUGCCAGCAGCCGCGGUAAUACGUAGGGGGCAAGCGUUGUCCGGAAUUAUUGGGCGUAAAGCGCGCGCAAGCGGUCAUUUAAGUCUGGUGUUUAAUCCCGGGGCUCAACCCCGGAUCGCACUGGAAACUGGGUGACUUGAGUGCAGAAGAGGAGAGUGGAAUUCCACGU
rnacentral:rRNA from 1 species